UACGUAGGGGGCGAGCGUUGUCCGGAGUUACUGGGCGUAAAGCGCACGCAGGCGGUUUCGUACGUCUGGAGUGACAGUUCCCGGCUCAACUGGGAAAGGUCUUCGGAAACGGCGAGACUUGAGGGCUUCAGAGGGACACGGAAUUCCGGGUGGAGUGGUGAAAUGCGUAGAGAUCCGGAGGAGCACCAAUGGCGAAGGCAGUGUCCUGGGAAGCAUCUGACGCUCAGGUGCGAAAGCUAGGGGAGCGAACAGG
rnacentral:rRNA from 1 species